rnacentral:piRNA from 1 species
UGCCAAACCAUCGAAGGCUUUCCUGC